rnacentral:rRNA from 1 species
GAUGAACGCUAGCGGGAGGCCUAACACAUGCAAGCCGAGCGGUAUUCUGGAUUUAUUCAGGAGAGAGCGGCGUACGGGUGCGUAACACGUGUGCAACCUACCUUUAUCAGGGGAAUAGCCUUUCGAAAGGAAGAUUAAUACUCCAUAAUAUAUUAAAUGGCAUCAUUUGAUAUUGAAAACUCCGGUGGAUAGGGAUGGGCACGCGCAAGAUUAGAUAGUUGGUGAGGUAACGGCUCACCAAGUCAAUGAUCUUUAGGGGUCCUGAGAGGGAGAUCCCCCACACUGGUACUGAGACACGGACCAGACUCCUACGGGAGGCAGCAGUGAGGAAUAUUGGACAAUGGGUGAGAGCCUGAUCCAGCCAUCCCGCGUGAAGGAUGACGGUCCUAUGGAUUGUAAACUUCUUUUGUACAGGGAUAAACCCAGAUACGUGUAUCUGGCUGAAGGUACUGUACGAAUAAGCACCGGCUAACUCCGUGCCAGCAGCCGAC